rnacentral:rRNA from 1 species
GUUUGAUCCUGGCUCAGGACGAACGCUGGCGGCGUGCUUAACACAUGCAAGUCGAACGGAGCACCCUUGAUUGAGGUUUCGGCCAAAUGAUAGGAAUGCUUAGUGGCGGACUGGUGAGUAACGCGUGAGGAACCUGCCUUUCAGAGGGGGACAACAGUUGGAAACGACUGCUAAUACCGCAUGAUACAUUUGGGUGGCAUCAUCUGAAUGUCAAAGAUUUAUCGCUGAAAGAUGGCCUCGCGUCUGAUUAGCUGGUUGGUGAGGUAACGGCCCACCAAGGCGACGAUCAGUAGCCGGACUGAGAGGUUGACCGGCCACAUUGGGACUGAGAUACGGCCCAGACUCCUACGGGAGGCAGCAGUGGGGAAUAUUGGGCAAUGGGCGCAAGCCUGACCCAGCAACGCCGCGUGAAGGAAGAAGGCUUUCGGGUUGUAAACUUCUUUUAAGAGGGACGAAAGAAAUGACGGUACCUCUUGAAUAAGCCACGGCUAACUACGUGCCAGCAGCCGCGGUAAUACGUAGGUGGCAAGCGUUGUCCGGAUUUACUGGGUGUAAAGGGCGUGUAGGCGGAGAAGCAAGUCAGAAGUGAAAUCCAUGGGCUUAACCCAUGAACUGCUUUUGAAACUGUUUCCCUUGAGUAUCGGAGAGGCAGGCGGAAUUCCUAGUGUAGCGGUGAAAUGCGUAGAUAUUAGGAGGAACACCAGUGGCGAAGGCGGCUUGCUGGACAUUAACUGACGCUGAGGCGCGAAAGCGUGGGGAGCAAACAGGAUUAGAUACCCUGGUAGUCCACGCUGUAAACGAUGGAUACUAGGUGUGCGGGGACUGACCCCCUGCGUGCCGCAGUUAACACAAUAAGUAUCCCACCUGGGGAGUACGAUCGCAAGGUUGAAACUCAAAGGAAUUGACGGGGGCCCGCACAAGCGGUGGAUUAUGUGGUUUAAUUCGAAGCAACGCGAAGAACCUUACCAGGGUUUGACAUCCUGCUAACGAAGUAGAGAUACAUUAGGUGCCCUUCGGGGAAAGCAGAGACAGGUGGUGCAUGGUUGUCGUCAGCUCGUGUCGUGAGAUGUUGGGUUAAGU